GGUUCUGCCUCAAGGUAACUUAAAUAAACAUCAUCCUUCUAGAACAUUUGCUUUUAGUUAUGUCACUUGAGAAUAGUUUAAUUUGCAUUGUUGUGUUGCAUAUGUUCUGCAAUCUUUGCCCAAAAUAAGAAACUAGAUGCGGUAAUCUACUAAUCCUUUUUUUUUUAUCAUUAGGCACGAGAAGAUUUACUUGAAAGCUGCCAAGAAUUACUUGGAAAAAGGUUCUGAUUAUGCUAAGAACGAAAUCCAGUGCCUACAGCGCAUACUUGACAAGCCCAUUAGUCCUGCGAAGGCCGACGAGUUAACUCUAAAGAAAAAUAUCUUGUCGACAUAUGCUGCUUGACUUUUUGGUGCAUCAUUAACCAUCUCUCAUGGAAGCUCGUGAUCAAUCGCAGCUCCUGAUGAUUGUUUGACUUUGAUAUCGAAAUUGCUCCUGAAGUGAUGUUAGGCCUUCAAUAUGAUGAAAAGAUUGAUAUAUGGUCUCUCGGCUGUAUCUUGGCAGAGUUAUGCUCUGGUGAAGUGCUAUUUAAUUUCCAAAUAAUGCAGUUGUGAUAUGAUUCUAGCACGCAUGAUUGGAAUGUUGGUUCUAUUGAUAUGGAGAUGUAGCAUAUUAUGAGUGUCGUUGAUAUGAAC